UACGGGGGGAGCAAGCGUUGUUCGGAUUUACUGGGCGUAAAGGGCGCGUAGGCGGCGUGACAAGUCACUUGUGAAAUCUCCGGGCUUAACUCGGAACGGUCAAGUGAUACUGUCGUGCUAGAGUACAGAAGGGGCAACUGGAAUUCUCGGUGUAGCGGUGAAAUGCGUAGAUAUCGAGAGGAACACCUACGGCGAAGGCGGGUUGCUGGGCUGAUACUGACGCUGAGGCGCGAAAGCCAGGGGAGCGAACGGG
rnacentral:rRNA from 1 species